rnacentral:rRNA from 1 species
CUUGAUCUAAUAAUAAGAGGUCCAGCCUGCCCAGUGACAUAUAGUUCAACGGCCGCGGUAUCCUAACCGUGCGAAGGUAGCGUAAUCACUUGUUCUUUAAUUGAGGACUAGUAUGAACGGCUUCACGAAGACUACACUGUCUCCUUUUUCUAAUCAAUGAAACUAAUCUCCCCGUGAAGAAGCGGGGAUAAACCUAUAAGACGAGAAGACCCUAUGGAGCUUUAAACGAUCGAAAUAUUUGCUACCCCACUUUUCACCUCCUGAGAACUAAAUAUAUUUUCAGCAUCUUAAUUUCUAGUUUUAGGUUGGGGUGACCACGGAGAACAAACUAACCUCCACGCUGAACGAGCCUUUCUCUUAGCAAAAAGUCACAACUUUAUGCAUCAAUACAUUGACUUCCAUUGACCCAAUUUUUGACCAACGAAC